rnacentral:pre_miRNA from 1 species
AGGAGGAACAACCACAGUGGCGGGGCCAGCUCUGGAGCCCUGGAGUCAGCCCCCGCAGUAGCUCCAGAGGUCUCCGUCUGCAGGGCCUGGAGGCUCCGGGCGGGG